rnacentral:ncRNA from 1 species
GGCCACCUUAGUAGUCAUUGUUCCAUAGGGGCAGGCGGACGGGGGGCUUACACAUAGCGGGUCCAAAGACAAAAACCUAGGGAUCCGCACGCUAAACGGAAGACAGAAA